rnacentral:misc_RNA from 1 species
GAUGAAGAACGCAGCGAAAUGCGAUAAGUAAUGUGAAUUGCAGAAUUCAGUGAAUCAUCUAAUCUUUGAACGCACAUUGCGCCCCCUGGUAUUCCGGGGGGCAUGCCUGUUCGAGCGUCAUUUCACCACUCAAGCCUCGCUUGGUAUUGGGCAUCGCGGUCCGCCGCGCGCCUCAAAUCGACCGGCUGGGUCUUCUGUCCCCUAAGCGUUGUGGAAACUAUUCGCUAAAGGGUGUUCGGGAGGCUACGCCGUAAAACAACCCCAUUUCUAAGGUUGACCUCGGAUCAGGUAGGGAUACCCGCUGAACUUAAGCAUAUCAAUAAGCGGAGGA